CAAAUACUCCCUCCGUCCGGAAAUACUUGUCAUCAAAAUGGAUAAAAGGAAAUGUAUCUAGACGUAUUUUGGUUUUAGAUACAUCUAUUUUUAUCAAUUAUUUUCGGAUGGAGGGAGUAGAAA
rfam:Triticum aestivum genome assembly, contig: Triticum_aestivum_CS42_TGACv1_scaffold_405337_5BL